rnacentral:rRNA from 1 species
UUGAACGCUGGCGGCAGGCCUAACACAUGCAAGUCGAGCGGAUGAAGGGAGCUUGCUCCUGGAUUCAGCGGCGGACGGGUGAGUAAUGCCUAGGAAUCUGCCUGGUAGUGGGGGAUAACGUCCGGAAACGGGCGCUAAUACCGCAUACGUCCUGAGGGAGAAAGUGGGGGAUCUUCGGACCUCACGCUAUCAGAUGAGCCUAGGUCGGAUUAGCUAGUUGGUGGGGUAAAGGCCUACCAAGGCGACGAUCCGUAACUGGUCUGAGAGGAUGAUCAGUCACACUGGAACUGAGACACGGUCCAGACUCCUACGGGAGGCAGCAGUGGGGAAUAUUGGACAAUGGGCGAAAGCCUGAUCCAGCCAUGCCGCGUGUGUGAAGAAGGUCUUCGGAUUGUUAAGCACUUUAAGUUGGGAGGAAGGGCGGUAAGUUAAUACCUUGCUGUUUUGACGUUACCAACAGAAUAAGCACCGGCUAACUUCGUG